rnacentral:rRNA from 1 species
UACAGAGGGUGCGAGCGUUGUCCGGAAUUACUGGGCGUAAAGGGCGCGUAGGCGGCUUGGCAAGGUUGCGGUGAAAGCCCGGGGCUCAACCCCGGGUCGGCCGUGGCAACUGCUGAGCUGGAGCACUGUAGAGGCAGGUGGAAUUCCGGGUGUAGCGGUGAAAUGCGCAGAUAUCAGGAGGAACACCGGUGGCGAAGGCGGGUCUCUGGGCCGAUACUGACGCUGAGGAGCGAAAGCAUGGGUAUCGAACAGG